AGUGUACCCCAGUUCCCUGAGAGGGGUCAGGGCGGGGUCUGCCCGCCUCUAGGGCCACUGGUGAAAUACCAUUACUCCCAUCAACUUUUCACUGACUCUGGGGGGAGGUGUGAGUCCAAAGAGGCUCUCGCUUCUGGCGCCAAGUGCCUGUCUGCAUGCAUGUGUGGACUCGACCUGCUCUGGGGACAAGGACAGGUGGGGAGUUUGACUGGGAUGGUAUACUUGUAAAAUGGUAAUGCAGUGUCCUAAUGUGAGCUCGGGGAGGGCAGAAACCUCCCAUGGAGUGGAAGAGCAAAAGCUCGCUUGUUCUUGAUUUUCAGUACCAAUACAGACCGUGAAAGCAGGGCCUUGAGAUCCUUCUGACUUUUGGGUUUUAAGCAGGAGGUGUCAGAAAAGUUA
rnacentral:ncRNA from 1 species